rnacentral:rRNA from 1 species
UUGAACGCUGGCGGCAGGCCUAACACAUGCAAGUCGAGCGGUAGCACAGAGAGCUUGCUCUCGGGUGACGAGCGGCGGACGGGUGAGUAAUGUCUGGGAAACUGCCUGAUGGAGGGGGAUAACUACUGGAAACGGUAGCUAAUACCGCAUAACGUCGCAAGACCAAAGUGGGGGACCUUCGGGCCUCAUGCCAUCAGAUGUGCCCAGAUGGGAUUAGCUAGUAGGUGGGGUAACGGCUCACCUAGGCGACGAUCCCUAGCUGGUCUGAGAGGAUGACCAGCCACACUGGAACUGAGACACGGUCCAGACUCCUACGGGAGGCAGCAGUGGGGAAUAUUGCACAAUGGGCGCAAGCCUGAUGCAGCCAUGCCGCGUGUGUGAAGAAGGCCUUCGGGUUGUAAAGCACUUUCAGCGGGGAGGAAGGCGAUAAGGUUAAUAACCUUGUCGAUUGACGUUACCCGCAGAAGAAGCACCGGCUAACUCCGUGCCAGCAGCCGCGGUAAUACGGAGGGUGCAAGCGUUAAUCGGAAUUACUGGGCGUAAAGCGCACGCAGGCGGUCUGUCAAGUCGGAUGUGAAAUCCCCGGGCUCAACCUGGGAACUGCAUUCGAAACUGGCAGGCUAGAGUCUUGUAGAGGGGGGUAGAAUUCCAGGUGUAGCGGUGAAAUGCGUAGAGAUCUGGAGGAAUACCGGUGGCGAAGGCGGCCCCCUGGACAAAGACUGACGCUCAGGUGCGAAAGCGUGGGGAGCAAACAGGAUUAGAUACCCUGGUAGUCCACGCCGUAAACGAUGUCGAUUUGGAGGUUGUGCCCUUGAGGCGUGGCUUCCGGAGCUAACGCGUUAAAUCGGCCGGCUGGGGAGUACGGCCGCAAGGUUAAAACUCAAAUGAAUUGACGGGGGCCCGCACAAGCGGUGGAGCAUGUGGUUUAAUUCGAUGCAACGCGAAGAACCUUACCUGGUCUUGACAUCCACAGAACUUUCCAGAGAUGGAUUGGUGCCUUCGGGAACUGUGAGACAGGUGCUGCAUGGCUGUCGUCAGCUCGUGUUGUGAAAUGUUGGGUUAAGUCCCGCAACGAGCGCAACCCUUAUCCUUUGUUGCCAGCGGUUAGGCCGGGAACUCAAAGGAGACUGCCAGUGAUAAACUGGAGGAAGGUGGGGAUGACGUCAAGUCAUCAUGGCCCUUACGACCAGGGCUACACACGUGCUACAAUGGCAUAUACAAAGAGAAGCGACCUCGCGAGAGCAAGCGGACCUCAUAAAGUAUGUCGUAGUCCGGAUUGGAGUCUGCAACUCGACUCCAUGAAGUCGGAAUCGCUAGUAAUCGUAGAUCAGAAUGCUACGGUGAAUACGUUCCCGGGCCUUGUACACACCGCCCGUCACACCAUGGGAGUGGGUUGCAAAAGAAGUAGGUAGCUUAACCUUCGGGAGGGCGCUUACCACUUUGUGAUUCAUGACUGGGGUG